rnacentral:rRNA from 1 species
UACGUAGGGGGCAAGCGUUGUCCGGAAUCAUUGGGCGUAAAGAGCGCGUAGGCGGCCCUGUAAGUCCGCUGUGAAAGUCAAGGGCUCAACCCUUGAAUGCCGGUGGAUACUGCAGGGCUAGAGUCCGGAAGAGGCGAGUGGAAUUCCUGGUGUAGCGGUGAAAUGCGCAGAUAUCAGGAGGAACACCGGUGGCGAAGGCGGCAUCCUGGACCAACACUGACGCUGAGUGAGCGAAAGCCAGGGGAGCAAACGGG